rnacentral:rRNA from 1 species
AUGAACAAGGCAAGGCGCCUCGCAACGGUGAAAUCUGUCCUCUGCGCGAUCCCCAUCUACCAGCUGCUGGUCUUCACGCCACCUAUAAAAACCAUCAAGCAGCUUGAGAAGAUUGAAGUAGGGUUCUUGUGGGCUGGCCGUGAGGCGGCCAAUGGCGGCAACUGCCAUGUCAACUGGCGCCGGCCGCCCCAUCGAGCUCGGAGGCCUCGGAAUUCCAGACCUGGAGCGCACCGGGCUGGCGUUGCGCCUUCGAUGGUUAUGGCUGAGCCGCACUGA